rnacentral:rRNA from 1 species
GGGGUGCACCAGGCGCGAAAACUCUACAAUGCAGGCAACUGCGAUAGGGGGACAUCGAGUGGCAUCCACCUUGGGUGCCUGUCCAACCGUCUAAAAAACGGUUGUUAGCAAGGGCCGGGUAAGACCGGUGCCAGCCGCCGCGGUAAUACCGGCGGCUCGAGUGGUGGCCGAUAUUAUUGAGUCUAAAGGGUCCGUAGCCGGCUUUGCAAGUCCCCUGGGAAAUCCAGCGGCUUAACCGUUGGGCUUUCAUGGGAUACUACAUUGCUUGGGACUGGGAGAGGUAGGAGGUACUCGGGGGGUAGGGGUGAAAUCCUGUAAUCCUCCGGGGACCACCGGUGGCGAAGGCGUCCUACCAGAACAGGUCCGACGGUGAGGGACGAAAGCUAGGGGCACGAACCGGAUUAGAUACCCGGGUAGUCCUAGCCGUAAACGAUGCCCGCUAGGUGUCACGACGGUCGUGAAUCGUCGUGGUGCCGUAGGGAAGCCGCGAAGCGGGCCACUUGGGAAGUACGGCCGCAAGGCUGAAACUUAAAGGAAUUGGCGGGGGAGCAC